UGAUGCUUAAAGUGAUAGAUAAAAGUCAAUAUUUGAAGUGAUUGUCUGGUGGCUAAUACAGCAACUUUGUCAUAUGAGAUGCUCAGCAUUGGAACUCAACAGCAUAUAAGGGGAACACAUUGGCAGGAUGUUGAGCAGACACCAAGUGAGUAUCUGCAGUGAGGAGUGGAGAGCUGUGAUCAGGAAGACAGCAGCAGCUCAAUAACAGACAGAAGUGACUGACCUGUGUCUCUGACAGACCCCAUCAAAGCUUGACAAUGAAGUUGGCUCUUGCUUUCACCAUUAUCUGCUUGUGCAUUUCUCAUGCUGCAAAUGUUUACGGAAUGGGAACGGCAUCAACGACAACUCCAAAUCCGACAACAACUCCCAGUCCGACAACAACUCCCAGUCCGACAACAACUCCCAGUCCGACAACAACUCCCAGUCCGACAACAAUUCCAAACUCAGACUCAAGUGAGAGCAGUGAACAAUCUUCCGAUGAGUCUGAUUCCAGUGACUGAUAGUUGAGAUUGAAGAGGUGACAGGGUUGGAGUCAAGUCUGUUCCAGCCAGUAACCAUUGCUGGGUUGGGUCAGCUAGACUCUUGGAAGGAGCAAUGCAAAGCUGUAUUGGUUUCUUACUCUUUUAGUUGGCUGUGCAACUGUCUUAAUGUAACAAUUAUAUUCUUCAUGUAUUAAUGCAAUCUAUAAGGGUGUUGAGGUGUAUUCUGGCUUCGACUGUGUAUUGAUCUGGAUGGCAGAACCUUCAGUAAUACUGUUAUGCCUUAUAAACCGGCUUGUAGCAACUUAAAGCCAUAAUGAGAUGGGCAGACCUGCAGGGGCUGGGUGACAUCACUGUGAUAGUGGGCAGGUGAACCCUGUUCACAUUGACAUACCAGGGAGUGGGCACGAGUGCCUCAGCUGUGCGGUGAAAUGUCCACAGAUACUGAAAUGGAUGGACUCAGGGAAAGCAGCUCAGUUCAAGUCCCACCUGUCCCUGUUGUAUCUGAAGAGUUUAAUUCAAAAUCUCCACAGCAAAUGUCGUUCUGUUAAUGUCAGUCUGAACGUUGCUUUUC